rnacentral:lncRNA from 11 species
CCCUUAUCCAAGGAGUGUUAAUAAAGACACAAGAAUGUGUGCAGCCAGGCAACCAAUAAAACAGCAAAAGGCCAUAAGAAUAACAAAAGGCAGGCAGCAAAUCCAACAGAAGGGCUCUGAUGUUUGCAACCGAAAACACUCCACCGGGUUGCUCACUACGGCGGCGUCUAUCUUAUCUGUAUGGAUAUUAGCAGCAGUCCUUUGGCAGCAAAAGCGUUUCCAGUCUCCAGGCUAACAGACUAACGAGCUAAUACAACUCAAAAGCGUCCAAGCUGAGAUAACUCACCAGACAAAUCAAUUUAGGUAAGUCAAAUAAGGCAAAGUCCAGCGUUUGUAGCUGGAACACUCCCACAGCUACUUACUGCGGCCAUCUUGCCUCCUCCCUUCCUCCUUACCACAUUACCACAAAUUACCAAGGGGACCACAAUGGCAAAAUAAUGAUUAAAAAUUAUCCAUAGCUGUGUACCAAUCAAAAGCACAAGCAAAAGGAUAUAAAAAGGAAGAUCUCACAGAAGGAAUGCUAGCCCAUGAUACUACAAGGAAAAGCUAUCUUUAUGCACUCUUGCCUUACACAGUUAUAGUAACACCACAAGUUUCAGGUACCUCUGAAAAUGGAUGCAUAAGAACAUCUGGAAAAGCAAAUUUACCUCUUCUUCAAAGGUGAAUGAAGUGGUCAAGCAAAUGUUGCCUCACAUCUUCAGUUCAAGUUUAUAAUGGUUGUGAUUAUGGGAUACUGAUCAACAGGAAAGAAGAAAGUGUCUAUUGUUCCCACCUGAAUAGAAGAUAUCUUUUUGCAAGGCAUCUUCUGCUUUAUACAGCUGGAGAAUCACAAAGCAAGUUUCUAAUAGAUCCAGAUCUGUCUUUCGGUGGUCUGAAGUGCCGGCUCCUUUAUAUAACAAAAGCUCCCCCCUCCCUCCCAAAUUUCUUCACAAUCUGAUUAGUCAGAAAAGCAUCUUCUUCACAGCAGGCCUGAGUCUGCAUGAGAAGUUUUACCUCUAGGUAAUUAAAGAUCAGCCCAAGGUGGGUUUUAAAAAAAAAACGAUGAAAGGUAACUUCUUAGGGUGGAAUUGAUAAGAACCCAACAGGAGGUUGCUGCAGAAAGGUGAGGAGUGGGAAGGUGGGCGGCAUGUCAGCUGGCUGUGCAAGGAAGUAACCUUUAUUAGCAAAUCAGAGAGAUUCCUACUUCACUAUCUUUCCACAUUAUGUCAGAACAUCUGACAGUCUUUAUAGUCUCAUAUCUAAUGCUGUUUUAAGAUGAAAGCUACCUGGAGUGAUCAGAGAGGCUGCGAAUCAGUCAUCCUGCUCAGAUAGUUUCCUUUCCUACUGUGCACAGUUUCCUCCUACUAGAUGUCAGCAAUGCAUUUCUUCACAUAUAACCCUAAAGUGCUUCCACAAGGUGUACAAGACCUUGAGGUUAGCAUUUGACUCUGAUAUCACCUUUAACUGGGCAUGAUACAGCACAAACAGGGCAUUUGUUUCAAUACUUAUUUUCCCUUCUCUUUUAAGAUCCCACUUUUUAGAAAACAACAUCGGAUGCUUCUGCACAGAUAGUAUAAUUCUAUUUGGAGGUGGAUUAAAAUGAACUAGUUUCACUGUGCAAUGUCUACACAAGCACAGCAGGAACUGAUUCAAAGCUGGGACGGUGGCCUCAUUAUCUGCUGAUUGCAGAUCGGAGCAGGAGCAGAAAUGGAUGCUGGGAUCUUGCAGGGUCCACAUCUGUUUUUAAGGUGUUAUCCCAUCCCAUCCCAAAUAGGCUGUACAGCUAGGAGUAGUUGAGGAUUGCUAUAAAUAAAGUCAAAAUAGGAAUUUAGUUAUUCAUUUGGUGUUACACAUUCAGAGUGUUUAAAUUAGAGAGAGAGAUUUUAAUUACAUUUCAAUACAGAUUUUUCUUUUUUUUUUUAAGUAGAUAAGUACAGAAAUGAGAUAGAGCAUUUUUAUGAAGAACAUGAGGCAAUAGGAAACAGAGCAGAAGAGGACAAGAGUCACCACUUCUUAUGUACCAAUAUUUCUAAAUUGCCAGGAUCCCCAUAAUGUGUUAGGCAUCUAACUUGCAUGGGGUAGAGGAAGAUAUGUUUUUCUGUAUGUCUGUAGAGGAAAAAAAAACAGCUGCCUAUUGGCUCUGUAUGAUCUACUACAUACAGGAUUUAUUUGCUAUACAUAUUUAAACAUGUACAGCAGUAAGGCAAGAUAAAUAAAAUACAAAUACAUGGAGAAUAUGUUUUCCUUUUUUUUAGAUAAGCAGAGUUUUCCAUCUCCCCACAUCUACCCACCCAACAACAUUUAUUAUUUGCUUAAAGUGGCAAGCAGAAAGAUGUCUGCUGAGUAUGCUGCCUAGGCACAUUAUGAACAGAUAUGUUUCCUCCAAAAAACAAAUAGUUCUGAAUUUCUUUAUUCUAUAUAUAUUUCCCUAGGUGAUUCAAAUCUUCUUUUAUUUUACUCCUGGGAAUAGCAUGACUCCAAGCAGUUUGACACUUUUUCUUAUCACAAGUUAUGCUCACUAGACACUGUGUCACUUUCAAAAUUCAUACGCUGUGCUGCUCCAUUUUUAUUUUACUAUGCCCUCAAUAGUUUCAAAGCACAAAUAGAACAAAACCUUUGUUGCUUACAAUUUAGUGUUUUGUUUGCAUUCACAUUAAUUUCGGGGAACGUAUGUUGCUGAAUAAAUGCAACUGGCUCUGAAAUAUACUUUACUGUGUUGAUCAGACUUUUCUUCCAUUUUGGAAUUCAAUAUGUACUUGCAUUGUUUCCACAAGUGUGCAUGUUGCUCCUGAAUUCCUGCUCUGCAGCACCAAUAAUGUACACUGCAGUGCAUUCAGCUGCAGUGCAUUUUCUUGCCAAUUUUGAACUUUCCAGUGAGAUUUUUUAAUGCAUGGUAUCAAGCUAAACGUGUGCUCUAGCAUGCAUUGGGGGUAUGCGUUUUCUAGUCACCCUCCUUUUAUCCCACUCCUAUCUAGAUUUUCAGGCCUGUGUAGAUGGGGCCAUUGCUGGUCUCCCAUCAAAAUCAAAAUCCGGCCUGGCUCUACUUAAUUUCCAAUAACAGACAAUGUUACUUUUUUGUUAUUCUUAUGGUUAAUUUUAUAAUUUGAAAUGCACCCAUAAUUUUGGCCACUUUCUUUCUGAUGCAAUAUUGUGAAACAAGAGAAUGUGUUUCUGAGUUAACUUUUUAGAGUUGAUUCUUCCUCACUCUAUAGUUUAUGCUUGCAACAUUAGCCAUUUGAUUCACUUGCCUCAGAUAAAUAUGGAACUGGAACAAGAGAACAUGCCUGUAAAGGAAUGUUUUUGUGUGGAUGACCACCUUUGCAAAAGAUUGACUUUUGGAUGUUCCCAUAAUUCGCUAGCUGUGCUUACUCCUGAGCUAUCCAAUUAUUUUUAAAUAUGUAUGAACUGGGU